UCCGCUUGAAGACAGCAGAAGUCCCGUGAAGAGGCAUGAGAAAAAAAUGAAGGAAUAAGAAUUGGCUGCUGUGUUCAGAAGAGUGCUGUGAUGCCAUGGGGAGUCCCCUAGCUCAGGGCUGGCUGCUCCCUGAGGUUCUCCAACUGAGGCAUUAGCAGAGGCUGGAGCCUCGGAGAAGCAGAGUCUGGGAGAUGAACAGGCUGCUUAGGAGCCCUACUCAUGGCCUGGCACUGGUCUGUGUAUGGUACCAACCCAGAAUGAAGACAGUCCCCAACACAAAGUUUACCUAAGACUGAGACGUGAGCAGCCAGUUUCAGAAGUCCCCUCCCAAAAAAGGCGGCCUGUUAAGUGAAGUGAUCACUCCUCACUGCAUGAUUAUAAGCAAGGGGCACAACACUGACUGCAUCCCUGCUCAAGCAGCUGGUCUCAACUAAGACUGUUUCCACAGAAUCACAGAAUCACAGAUUCGCAGGAGUUGGAAGGGAGAUCAUUGAGUCCAACCCCUCUGCUAAAGCAAGUAUCCUACAGUAGGUCUCACAGUUUUCUACCCUGAGGCAAAAUUCAGCUCUGACACCAGCACGUUGCUUUGCUCUCCCCCAGCCCAGAGCUCCCUGUUGCUGUCAGGGUGCAGCAGCCGCCCUGGGAUGGCUGUCACAAUCCCACCACGGGACAAGCAGAAUGCCUUCCAGGAAGAAGAAGGGAAGUAGAGAGGGGGCCUACAGAAAGGACCUGGUUCUGUGAAGGCACUGCAAGCAUCGACUGAUUGCGUAUCCUCAUUUGAUGAGCACAAAGGCAAGA